rnacentral:rRNA from 1 species
GAUGAACGCUGGCGGCGUGCUUAACACAUGCAAGUCGAACGAAGCACUUUGAUCGAUUUCUUCGGAUUGAAAUUUUAGUGACUGAGUGGCGGACGGGUGAGUAACGCGUGGGUAACCUGCCUCACACAGGGGGAUAACAGUUGGAAACGGCUGCUAAUACCGCAUAAGCGCACAGUACCGCAUGGUACAGUGUGAAAAACUCCGGUGGUGUGAGAUGGACCCGCGUCUGAUUAGCCAGUUGGCGGGGUAACGGCCCACCAAAGCGACGAUCAGUAGCCGGCCUGAGAGGGUGAACGGCCACAUUGGGACUGAGACACGGCCCAAAAUCCUACGGGAGCAGCAGUGGGAAUAUUGGCACAAUGGGGGAAACCCUGAUGCAGCGA